GGUAUGGACGAAGUGGGUGAUCCUAUGCUGUCGAGAAAAACCUCUAGCGAGCUAUGCGCCGCCCGUACCCCAAACCGACUCAGGUGAUCAGGUAGAGAAUACCAAGGCGAUCGAGUGAACCAUGGUUAAGGAACUCGGCAAAAUGCCCCCGUAACUUCGGGAGAAGGGGGGCCGGAUCCGUCAAUGCCCUAGCGGCAGGAAGCGGUGAUGGCCGCAGAGACCAGGCCCAAGCGACUGUUUACUAAAAACACAGGUCCGUGCGAAGUUGUAAGACGAUGUAUACGGACUGACUCCUGCCCGGUGCUGGAAGGUUAAGGGGACGGGUUAGCUUCUGGCGAAGCCCAGAACUUAAGCCCCAGUAAACGGCGGUGGUAACUAUAACCAUCCUAAGGUAGCGAAAUUCCUUGUCGGGUAAGUUCCGACCUGCACGAAUGGAGUAACGACUUGGGCGCUGUCUCAACCGUGGACUCGGCGAAAUUGCACUACGAGUAAAGAUGCUCGUUACGCGCGGCAGGACGGAAAGACCCCGGGACCUUUACUAUAGUUUGGUAUUGGUGUUUGGUUCGGCUUGUGUAGGAUAGGUGGGAGACUUUGAAGCUUGGACGCCAGUUCAGGUGGAGUCAACGUUGAAAUACCACUCUGGUCGUACUAGAUGUCUAACCUAGGUCCGUAAUCCGGAUCAGGGACAGUGCCUGAUGGGUAGUUUAACUGGGGCGGUUGCCUCCUAAAAUGUAAGGGAGGCGCUCAAAGGUUCCCUCAGCCUGGUUGGCAAUCAGGUGACGAGUGUAAGUGCACAAGGGAGCUUGACUGUGAGACAGACAUGUCGAGCAGGGACGAAAGUCGGAACUAGUGAUCUGGCCACGGCAUGUGGAAGCGUGGUCACUCAACGGAUAAAAGGUACCCCGGGGAUAACAGGCUGAUCUUCCCCAAGAGUCCAUAUCGACGGGAUGGUUUGGCACCUCGAUGUCGGCUCGUCGCAUCCUGGGGCUGGAGUAGGUCCCAAGGGUUGGGCUGUUCGCCCAUUAAAGCGGCACGCGAGCUGGGUUUAGAACGUCGUGAGACAGUUCGGUCCCUAUCCGCCGCGCGCGCAGGAAACUUGAGAAAGGCUGUCCCUAGUACGAGAGGACCGGGAUGGACGAACCUCUGGUGUGCCAGUUGUUCUGCCAAGAGCACGGCUGGUUGGCUACGUUCGGAAGUGAUAACCGCUGAAUGCAUCUAAGCGGGAAGCACGUUUCAAGAUGAGGUUUCCCACUACAUAAGUAGGUAAGGUCCCCAGCAGAACACUGGGUUGAUAGGCCAGAGGUGUACAGCAGUAAUGCUCAGCCGACUGGUACUAAUAGACCGAGGGCUUGCC
rnacentral:rRNA from 1 species